GACAGAAGGGCGAGAUGGUCUAACAGU
rnacentral:piRNA from 1 species